AUCUCCCCCUAACUGUGGAUUCGACCAGUGACUUGUUUCUAAGGAAUAGAAUAUGUUGAUCACUGGAAUGGUUGUAAACAUCUUCAUUCAUCUGGUUUUGAUAUAGAAGGAGGAUGACACUUCUCAAAUGCAUCAACAACGGAGAAAGAAUAAUUCACAAACUACUUAUCACAAGGUAAACCCACGAUCAUUUUUCUUCUACUGAGCAAAGAACACCUAAGAGACAGGAGACCUGGCUUCAAAUUCUGGCUCCAUCAAUAACUUACAGCAUGACUUAAGCAAGACACUUCACUUCUAUGGACCCCAAUUUUCCCAUCAGUAACAUGGAUGGAGUGUGCUACACCAAUAUUUCUCCAAGUGUGUUCCAAAGAACAUUAGGUUCAUGAGGUGCUCUUUGAAAAACUCUUCUAUGGUCAAAUAGAUUUGGGAAAUACUGUGAACUUUAACCACUGCUUUGAGGACAGCUGAGGCUCAUAACAAUAAGAGAGGCUCUGAUAACUCCUAUGCUAAGGAAAUCUGCUAGACUUUAACCUGACAUUUCCUAAUCUUGAGAGGUGAAAUUUAUAUAUUCAAGUAUUAAUCUGUUAUUAAACUGUUUUACCACUCAUGAAUUGGUCAAUGGUACAGAGAAGCUCAGAUUCCAGUGAGAAAAAUGAAUUAUCUCAGUAACUAAGACUCAGAGUAAGGGAAAAAGAGGGAGAGCUGAGGACUGACAUGGGGAAAAAGAAACCUUUUAUGCAUUGAGAAGCUGCAGGAAAUCUUUCAUGCAUCGAGAAGCUAUGAGAAAGCUCUGCACCAAGCCAAUGUGUCCCUCUUCUAUGUGGGUGACCUGCAAACUGCUAGCGACUAACCCAUGGAACUUUGAGAGUCUGGAUGGAAGUGAUGUUUAUCAUUGCCCAUGAGAUUCUGCCUAAACCUCUCACCUGUUCCAGAUGGACCAUCUCCUGUAGACAAGCUGCUGAUGUAAAGGUCCUAGACACUCAUAAGUCACUCAGAACAAAAAGGGAUUUGGCCACCUUUUGAGGGGAGGAUGAUAAUGAGAGGAAACGCCUUCAGAUCAAGGUGGGGCAGGUACGGCCAGUUGGAAAUUCCCUUCU
rnacentral:lncRNA from 10 species